rnacentral:ncRNA from 1 species
GAGUAGAAAAGCUGUGUUCUUUGAUUUCUCUACAUAGUGGUAAUAUAGUGAUGAUGUUUAAAAAGCAAGUUAUACCUCAAAUGGUUAUUAUUAUAUAAGGAGAGAGGCAACAUGGGAAGGCCGUACUAGGGUAUAACUGUUAAGAUAAGAUUCCGAUAACGAGCGAGACUUUUAUGUUAUAUUAAAUAAUAUUAUUAUUAUUUAUUAAUAAUAUUUAUUUUAAUAACAGAUUAAUAGUGUUUAACUAUUUGAGAGAGAGCAAUAACAGGUCUGUGAUGCCCUUAGAUGUCCGGGGCUGCACGCGCGCUACAAUGUAGUGAUCAUUAUGUUCCUGUUUAGAGAUAAAUGGGUAAACAUUGAAAACAUUACGUAACUGGGAGUGAAAAUUGCAAUUAUUUUUCAUGAACGAGGAAUUCCAAGUAAACGUAAGUCAUUAGCUUACAUUGAUUACGUCCCUGCCCUUUGUACACACCGCCCGUCGCUGCCCGGAACUGAGCAAUAUCGAGAGGCAGGAAGAGAUACAAAAAAUAUUUAUAUUUUUUUGUGUUAAAUCCUUUCAAUCGCUGUUGUUUGAACCGGGCAAAAGUCGUAACAAGGUUUUCGUAGGUGAACCUGCGAAAGUGCUGUACCGUACAUCCGCCUUGGCCGUACAGCAG